rnacentral:rRNA from 1 species
ACCAGACUCCUACGGGAGGCAGCAGUGGGGAAUAUUGCACAAUGGGGGGAACCCUGAUGCAGCGACGCCGCGUGGGUGAAGGAGCGCCUCGGUGCGUAAAGCCCUAUCGGCAGGGAAGAAACAGACGGUACCUGACUAAGAAGCCCCGGCUAACUACGUGCCAGCAGCCGCGGUAAUACGUAGGGGGCAAGCGUUAUCCGGAUGCACUGGGUGUAAAGGGGGCGCAGACGGCAGCGCAAGCCAGGAGUGAAAGCCCGGGGCCCAACCCCGGGACUGCUCUUGGAACUGCGCGGCUGGAGUGCAGGAGGGGCAGGCGGAAUUCCUGGUGUAGCGGUGAAAUGCGUAGAUAUCAGGAGGAACACCGGUGGCGAAGGCGGCCUGCUGGACUGCGACUGACGUUGAGGCCCGAAAGCGUGGGGAGCAAACAGGAUUAGAUACCCGAGUA